UAGUCCACGCCGUAAACGAUGGAUACUAGCUGUUCGGACUUCGGUCUGAGUGGCUAAGCGAAAGUGAUAAGUAUCCCACCUGGGGAGUACGUUCGCAAGAAUGAAACUCAAAGGAAUUGACGGGGGCCCGCACAAGCGGUGGAGCAUGUGGUUUAAUUCGAUGAUACGCGAGGAACCUUACCAGGGCUUAAAUGUAAUAUGACAGGGAUAGAGAUAUCCUUUUCUUCGGACAGAUUACAAGGUGCUGCAUGGUUGUCGUCAGCUCGUGCCGUGAGGUGUCAGGUUAAGUCCUAUAACGAGCGCAACCCCUGUUGUUAGUUGCCAGCGAGUAAUGUCGGGAACUCUAACAAGACUGCCGGUGCAAACCGUGAGGAAGGUGGGGAUGACGUCAAAUCAUCACGGCCCUUACGUCCUGGGCUACACACGUGCUACAAUGGUAGGUACAGAGAGCAGCCACUGCGUGAGCAGGAGCGAAUCUAUAAAACCUAUCACAGUUCGGAUC
rnacentral:rRNA from 1 species